AAUAUGCAGAAUAAAAUAAGUGACACCCCUCAAAGUGGAGGUACUUUUGAGAAGUAUGACAGAGCACAACGUUUGUACCUGCACCAUACUCUCUAUACAGAUUCCUGAACUUGAAGACUUGCUGUAGGAAGGAAGAAAAUUAU